rnacentral:lncRNA from 1 species
AGGUAAAGUUACUACACCUAUCAACAUGUUACAAUACUUUGUUUAUUUCAUUCUACAUAUUGUUCUUCUACAAAUACACCAAACAGAGGUAUGUAAAUACACGUAUUAAACUAACAGCGAAAAGGGGUACACAUGUCACACAAUGUGCUUAAAAUGCAAUUUUGAAAUUUUGGGGUUUAAAAAUAAAUGUGUAAUUAUAUUCUCUUUUUUAUUCUCUAAAAACAUACGAUAUGUAUUUAUAAUUGAAUUAAAUAAAAGAAUCGGAUUACUAGUAAAAAAGACGAGUAAACAAAACAAAUAUAAAACAUUUGCUAAAAACAAAAACAACAUCUUCAUUCAUUAAAUCUAACUUUUUUUCUUUAAUGCUUGUGAAACUGCUAGAAUGUACCUACAUUGUCUCCAGGAGAAAUGAAUAGAGCUGGUUAGAAUAUUGAAUUAUGUAAUAACUUCUGUUUUGAAUUCCAAAGUUUUAUAAAUUUUCGGAUUGACAAGUCGUGAGAAAAAAGGGCUAGGCAUUUAAUGAAAAUGGAAAAUUUUCUCUCGCGUGAAGAAGAAGUGAGAAAAAAAAACAUGCAAAGAUGAUAAUUUGAACUAUGCCUUUCUUUACCAAAACUGCAAUAAAUCAUGAAAUUAUCGUGUUUGCCUUUUUAAUUUGGAUAUUUACCGUACACUAAUAUGUACAUUUGAAAAUCAUUGGAGAUCAAUUAGGGAUUUUGUUUAUUUACAUUCUAAUGUUAGUAUGUAAAAUAAUACUAAAAUUGUUAAGCUGUAAAAUUCUCAGCUUCGUAUACAGGAUUCCAAAAAGUUGGUGGCGACUGGUAAACCAAGGUUUUCAGCGAUAAUUUAGAAUGGAUUAGUCCAGUCGAUUUGUGAAACAAUUGCUCAGAUUGUGGUAAAAGCAUAAAAUUUGGCAGAGUGUUAGUUGAGGUCAUAACUAACAUUAUGCUAUGGACCCAAUUCAGAAAAUAAAAUGGCGGCUCGGCGGCAUUUUGAAAUAUGUCAAAAAAAUUAAUAAAAAUUAUUAAAAAAAUAUGAAAAAUAUAUUACUUUACCAAUUUUGAUAAACUGUCGUAUAUCUUAUGACAAAGAAUAUCACCUGAAGACUAUUCAAGUAUUAGGUGGCCAUCUUGAAUGGUGGCCAUUUUGGAAACGUAAAUUUCAAAUAUGUCAUUAUUCGCUAUCCUAAAUUGUUUUUGGAAUUAAUGCUAAGUUUUAUAUGCAUUUAUAACUAGUUUUUCUUAUCAUUGAUUUAUAUGACUGUUGCUAUUCAUAUAGGAUAUAUUCACCAAGUGCUGAAAUAAGGCAUGCAUAUGUUAACUAAUAAAUGUAUUUAAAAAAUAUGCGUAAUUCUUUUAAUUGCAGUUUAGCAUGUGCUUAGUUACUUUUGACCACCAAAAAUGCGUAUAUACAUAUAAUUUAUGCCACUGUAUGUGAAAAGAUAAUACAUAGUAUUGUCAAUAGGCUGAAAAGAUAAUGAAUAGACUGGAAAGAAUUCCGUAACGCAAAGAGAGCACAUGAGGAUUUACAAUGUCAAUCAAAUACAAAAAAGCAGACAUAGACAUUUGAAGCUGGUAAUAAGUCUUUUCUGUACGCAUACAACUGUUCCAAGUGAUGAAGGCAAUUAAUGAGGGAAUCACAAGGCAAAAGGUACUUAUCCUGUCAAAGCAAAUCUUAAGAUCAAAAUAUUUUGUCAGGAAAAAACGAAAAGUCUAAGAUGAGUCACGGAUUGAAAAUACAGAAAUAACCAGCCACGGUGUGAUGAUUAACAAGAACAAUAUGAUGCAGGAUUUUUCUUUCAUUGUGAUGAGGUAUCUGACUAUCAUCAGGAGGCUCGACAAUAGAGUAUGUGACUGUCACUUGAACUACUAACCAUUGUUCUAUUAGCAAGACAGUGCGGAGAUUAUUUUCAGGAGCAGAUAUCAUAUAAAUGUUGUUAAAACUGCACGACAGGGCAAUAACAGAAUCGAGACACAGAAAAAACAGUCAAGAAUCUGUUAUCCAUGGGAAUGGGCUCGCCAAUUGAUAGAACAGUGACGGCUCACAACUAUGAACAGAUAUUGUUUAAUAUUUGAAAUUGAUGAUAUGUAAAAUUGUACAGUAAACGUUCUUAGUAAAUAUGAGUUGUCAUGGAAGGAAUGAUUAAUACAAGCUGCCAUAGAUGAUAUGCAAGCACACAUGAAAGGUUGCGUUUUUCUCCGGAUUCUCAAAGAAUAUGUUGGGGAAGUUCUGAAACAGGCCAUGUCUUUUAGUCGUGAUGUGAAGGCCUCUUCUAGUCAAAGUAACUAGAAAAGUGAAGAGUUAAGCUUGUUACUAUAAAAAGGUACAUUCAAUGUAGGCUUUCCAAAUGAAUCAGUUCCACAAUCGUUGAGACAUCUUACUCUCUAUCUGAGGACUGAUAAGUUGCAGUUGUAUUCUUUCAACGACGAGUUGCUCAAUUGAACUAUUAUUGCUAUGGUAAGGCCAUUCUUACUAAGGAAGCUUAAGUCUGUUGAAAUUUGUCACAGCUGUUAUUGAGUGUCCCUGUAAGUUAUUUUAGUAUCAAGCAUAUAUUUUGUCUGCUAUGGCUAUGGUGAUGCCUUCAUUUUUACUUUUUUUUUAUUUGCUCUGUUUUAGAGCUUCACGAUUACAUUUGUUGAAAAUCAAGAGCACUAAUUUAUCUUGCUUGUAUGCUUAUAGAUAUCCUAUAGCAGCUACAUUUCAAUUUUGUUAACUGCGUUGUAUCAGUUCUUCCUUUCAAGAUCUUCCAGGCGUUUACUGUACAAUUUAGCGUGAUCUGAAAGCUUGGAGAUUGGUACAAUACUUCUUCAGACCGUGUGCCAUCAAUGUAUUUCAUUUAUUUAGGAAAGCACAAACUCAAGAUUAAAAGAUUCCUGGCUUUCUUUCUGUGUCUUUUAUUUGCUAUUUGCUAUGUUGUCAGUUCAUCAAUCAUCAGCAUGAUACUAGUGAUUUGACAUCUCCAGCUCUUACUUUGGCUAAGGGAAUAUGUCUUGUAGUACAAGUGCACAGUCUCGCCCUAUUUUUGUUGAUUUGAAAAUGUCUAUGUAUCAUGGAGAUCUUCAGAUACAUCACCACAGAAAAAAUACAUUGCAGUCAUUGUUCUUUUUGAUCAGUUCACUUUACAAGUGUCUGUUACUUAUUGUUCCUUUCAAUUGGCAACUUAUCUUCAACAUCAGAAGUAUGUUUUCCCUUUUGCUGAUGAAAUAUUUUGAGGUCUGAAAAUUUGUUUGACAUGGUUUGUGCCAUUUUGCCUUGUGAUUCUUGAGUGCUUCUGCAGUUCCAUAGCCCUUAUUCAACUGUUUCGAAUUGAGCGAAAGGAAAACCAAUUCAAGACCCAACAUCUUCGUAUGCUUGCAUUAAAAAAGAGUGAUUGCCAGCUCAAAUGUCUAUGACUGUUCUGUUUGUAUCUACUUGGCAUUGCAAACCCUUACAUGUCCUCUCUUGCCGUUUCACACAUUCCUUCCACUCCAAUUGCCCAUUAUGUUUUUCUUAUAUCUAGUUCCAGUGUUUUCGAAAUCUACAAUUUUUGAUCUUUCCAAAAAAACUUUCGGUCAUAAAUUAUAUAUUAUAUACGUAAUUUCUGUUUUAAAAAGUUACUUGUAAGUAACAAAAAUUUUGAUACUGAUAUCUUAAUUUUGUAAACAUGUGCAUGCCUUAUCUGACCUCUUUUUGAAUAUCCAAUAUAAAUUAGUAAAAAAAGUACGAAUGCAAACAGUGAAUUAAUAAGAUUAGCGAAUAAUGAUAUAUUGAAAUUCAUGUUUUCAAAAUGGCCAUCUUCAAGAUGCUACCAAGAAAUCAUAUAUAUAUGAAGUCCUCAAAUGACAGUCCUUGUCAAUUGUGAUGAAUAUACCAUUUGACUAUAUAAUAAUUUCCUACAGCAAGCGCUUAACUUAUAAGUCAAAGUGAACACAGAUACUAAGGAAUUGCAAAUGUGUAAAGGCAGUAUUAAGUUGUACUACUCUAUGUUUAUGUGGAGGACAUGUGAUAGAAUAUGAUAAACAGAGUGUGUUUUGACAAAACAUGUACAUUCAUUUAUUGUUAGAUAUUGUUACGUCAAUUGAGAACAUUUGAGCAGUUGACGUUCUUAUAACAUUACUUGUAUGAUAUAAAAUUCAUUAUGUCUUCAAUCAAGGUUUUAGAAAAUUGUUUCAAAUGAACAACAAUAUCAACAAAACGAAUUAUCCAGUAAUCAGCCAACUAUUAUAAAGAACAGGUGUACAAAUAUUUUCUUGCUUUAUUUCUACGUAUAAAAUAAAAUUCUCCUGUUAUUCUAUAUUGAACAAGCGGUUGCACGAAUAAUGCUUUCAGAGUAAUAGUUCAUUUUAUGAUUCACUUCGUGUCUGCGUUUUAAUGCUUUUGUACCCGCUACAAAACAGAAGAAUAACUCGGGGGAAGGGGAUAGGCUAGCUUUUUGUCCUGUUUAUCUAGCUCAAACAAAUACAUUUGUAUAUAUCUUCCACAAUGCAUUUUUUUUAUUAUAUCGAAUAAUGGCUACAUAUUUUGGCUUAACAAAAAGAUUUUUCAAGAUGGCCGCCAUUCAAUAUGGGUAAUAUUUCCAAAACUUUUGUUCUACAAGACAAUUGGAUCCAGCACUGUUAUUCUAUCAACCAGAUUUCAUCUAAUAUCAUUUUCAUAAUUUUUCUAUUAUUAUCUAUUGAGAUCAAACGGCCGCCAUUUAAAAUGGCCGCCUCUUCGCCAAUUUCGAUUUCAGAUUGGGUCAUAGCUUAAAAUGUUGUCCAUGACAUAUACUACUACUAUGCCAAAUUUCAUGCUUUUACCACAAUCUGAGCAAUUUUGUCAAAAAUCUGCACAAAUCGACUGGACUAGAUAUACAUUAAUGAUAUAUAAAGCACGACUGUUUACGUACAUGUACACAAAAAAAUCAAUUUAAUCAAUCAUUUCUAAUAUAAAACCAGUGUAAUUUUUCAACUCUAUAUUUUCUUUUUAAUACUUCAGGGUCGAUCUGAACCUAGGCCUGUCCGGGGUAAGUGUAUUUGCUUUGUUUACCAUUCAAACUUACAAGUUCUUUUUUUUAUCCUUUGAAAUAUGUUGUAUUCUAUUAAACUGCAAACAUCUUUAUUAAAUUGAAAUAAUGACAGAAACAGCUAAUAUUUGGUAUAUAUUUAAACGACUUUGUUUAUAUAUAAAGCUGAUCCCCAUAUGUUCAGUAAAACAAAUCGGGGUAAGGGAGGAGGGUAUAUGUCAUAUCUUGAUCUCUAACAUUGGGAAUGAAAAUUGAGAAUAUGUCAAAGAAACAACAACCCGUCCAAAGAGCUGAUAACAGCAUAAGGCCACAAAUGGGUCUUUAGAUCCCGCACCGAAUGUUUUUUGUUGUUUGGUUGAUGUCUCAUCGGUGUAUACAUCACUUCUUUUUUAUUCACACCAUAACAUUACAAUCAAAAGUGUCAUCGUUCUAGUAGUUAACCGUUAAAAAACUUAUGAAUAAAUAAAGGCAACAGUAGUACACCGCUGUUCGAAAUUCAUAAAUCGAUUGAGAAAAAAAAAACACGGGUCACAAACUAAAAAUGAGGGAAACACAUCAAGUAUAAGAGAACUAAGACACACCAGAAACACAACCUUUAAAUAUAACACACACAGAAACGAAUUAUAACAUAACAAUUGCAAAAUAGUUUCUUAUUUACAAAAUCUUAUUUCAGAUCCUUGUUAUCUUCCAAAAAAGACUGGGUUCUGUAGGGCAGCUUUUCGACGAUAUUUUUAUAAUGCUGAUACAGGAAAUUGUGAACGUUUUACCUAUGGCGGAUGCCGUGGAAAUGAAAAUAAUUUCAAAACAAUUAGAGAAUGUAGAAGGACCUGCCUAAACAAAGGUAUUUAUAUAG